CCUCUUCAAUCUGCUGUGGGCAGAUAAAGUGAAUAUGGGAAUCGAUGCCUCCGGCAGUCAGAAUAGCGCCCUCACCCGCCAGGAUUUCUGUACCCGGGCCAAUCACGAUAUCGACGCCAGACUGAACAUCCGGGUUUCCCGCCUUGCCAAUGGCGCUGAUACGGCCAUCUUUGACUGCCACAUCGGCUUUGACUAUCCCCCAAUAAUCGAGAAUAACGGCGUUGGUGAUCACUAAAUCUGGUGUGAACGACGACGGCAGUUGACUCUGCCCCAUUCCGUCACGG
rnacentral:sRNA from 1 species